AUGUUUAAUCUGGUACUUUCCCCAGAGGGCUGUGUGAUGCAAACCUCAGACAUGGCUGGAUGGAUACCUGCAGCCAAGUGACACAGAACUUGGUAAGAAACAGAGCAGCCCCGAGCAGCCUGCCACUCUGACCACUUGGCAAACCAGGUUCUUCGAGACGUGAACAAUGCCCCUCUGUUAAGUGGGAGAGGCCAGGCCCUCAGGUCUGAGCCUUCUGUUGACCAGGCCAAGUUCCACUGUGCUAGAAGCGGCCCAAGUUGGUGGAGGGAGAAAUGCAAGUCACCUUGAGGUUUGGCAAACACCUGCCAUAAAGGCUGUCCUUGUAUGCUGUGACCUUGAGGGAGCCAGUGCCGGAACCAGGCCACUCCCAGUGGCAUCACUGACACCUUUGUCUUCAUGAGUUGGACAAAUGCCAACAGGGCUUGGGGCAGGAACAUGGCCGCAGGAGGGCUCAGAACUCUGGCCAGGGCAGGGUGGCAAAACAGUGACACGAAGCCAGCAAGGGACAGGCUUGUCCCCACAGGGAAAGUGGGGGAGUCAAAGGGCCCCUGCCAUGGUGAGAGGCAGCACGUCUGUCUUGGGAAGGGCAGCUGCCACAGCGCAAGCCUGGCUCUGCCGGGCACGGGCUGGAGCUCCUCUUCUGUUCCAGGGAGAGGUUCCCUAGUGCACUGCAGUAGGCAGCACUGGAGGCUGAGCCAGGCUGCUGCCCAGGAGGGGCUCUGCCACCUCCAACACAGGCAGUGCUGGCCAAGUCACCGCGGGCCUGCCGCAGGAGCCAGGUAACCAUCUGGCUUGGCUGUGUGGCCACGGUGCCACGGCCCGUGCCAUCUGCUGCUUCAAACAAGAGCUCAUAGGUAGUGGUGUCUCCAUCUGAGCCACUGUCACGGGGCAGUCAUCACCUGAAACCCCUCACUAGGGGAGACUGUUCUCAGUGCCAAGCAACUAACUAGCUCAUGGUGCUGCCCUGCCCUGUAACAAGUGGACUGGGGCAUGCCACCCUCACGGGGGUACCAAGUGCCCCUGCUGAGGAAGGCUGGCAAUGCUGUCGCUCAGCUGAAAGCCGGCCACACAGUACCCUAGAGACUCUUGCCAUGGGAAGUGCUUAUGAGCUGCAGGAGCAGCAUGUCGCCUGCAUGGACAGCCGGCCAGUCUGUAUGUGCAUGUCAUGUUGUGCCCCCGCACCCCCAGCUGGGGGAAACAAACCAGACUACACAGGGCAGAGGAAGACUUCAAACAAGUCCUUACAGGAGCAGCACACCUGCUCGUCAGUGUAGAACCUUUAAUAACAGAGCAGAUGUGGCCGCUUAAGGCAAAAGGCAAGCUACAGAUGUGUGGCCACCUCUGGCUCCCAGGGAUGUGUCCUAAUGUCUUCUGGCUUCAGAGGCAGCACAGGGAGCUAAGGGAGCCCGCCUGUCCCCCACCCUGGAAGCAGGUGCAGUGGCAGCAACCCCAGGAGCCAGGGAGGACAGAUGCUCUGUGGGGGGAGGGGGUGGGGACUGGGGGCUAGGAGGGCAUGCCCGCUUGAAACUAGUCACCUCUGCUCUUCAGUGGCCUUUCAUGGCUGCGAAGCCCAGAAGGGAGCUGACUGCACAGCCAUUUCUCUGACAGAAAUGUCUCCAGUGGACAACUCAGGAUUGGGAAAGCUUGAGUGAGGACACAGCAAGACCAGGCCAGCAGGGGGCGCCAGCCCAGCGAUAGGGAGGAAGGGUGGCUGUCUCCUUCAUAGCACAUGUUCAGGACAGGACAGCUCCUACAGGAGCAGCUGCAGAACUGCAGACAGACACUCAGCAUGUGCUCCAAAUUUCUACAAAGCCAGGACCGUGGCAGAUACCCCGAGAGACCAGUGUGGCUGGGACGGAGCAGGGAAGCACAAGGAGCCAUUUCCCAGAUUGUGCAAACUCUGCCCAACCCCACACUGACCUCCUGUGACAGGCAAAGUUGUCGAGGUCGGAGUUUCGCAGCACCUUCUCGUAGGGCACGUUGGCGGUGAUGAGGCUGUGGCUAUUGAAGGAGAGAUAGCGCACAGGGUGCCUGUGGUGAGAGGAAGAGGGCUGUCAGGCGCGAGCAAGACCUGCUCCGGCACCAUGUCAUUUAGCAAACACACUGGUAACCCCUAGUCUAGCUGCCUGCCUCAACAAGUUGGUGUAUUUGGGAUAUAAGAACAUUCAGCUUGAGACAAACCUACAAAAUGGCAUAGAGCACCGACGAGCUGUGGGUGAGUUCUUAUCCUCAGGGUGAUGGCUACAGCUGACAGCCUCUGUACAUGGUGAGGUCAUGCUGUGGCUCAGGGGACAGCAGAGAGUAUAGGCUCCACAGUAGUGGGAAGCUAGGGAGCCCACCUCUGCAAGGAGGACGACUACCCCACACCCAGUGGGGCUGGCUGAGACCACUAGGGAGGAGGCCUGUGGCAAGAACAGGCCCUUUGGCAAAAGCACACGAAGGAGAGGGAGCUGGUGAGGGAAGGCAGGCUCAAGACAGCUGAGCCGACGACAGCUGCACUAGACCGAGGUUGGGACAGGCACAGGGUGCCUACAGAGAGAAGACCUUAGUGGGGGUGUGAAGCGCAGGGCCUCCCUGUGGUGGUGAGAAGCACGGGCACAGUCCUGGAUGCACAGAGAACCAACUAGAGUACUGGCUUUCCUGAAGUUCAGGCAAAUGCUGGUUCAGUGUGGGACUUUGAGCUGCCUUUUGGCACCACCUGGUGGUACCAGGGCGUAUCACAGUGAAGCUGGGCAAGGGCAAGGCCAGAGGCAGUGUGGUAUGACUGGGGGUUCUGAUUUGAUAAAAGCUGCUGGCCACAAUACUCACCAACCUGCCAGCUAAGAAGGAACCCAAAUUUACUUUGCACCUUUGGGAGUGUUUGUGAAGCCAUAGACCUUCACUUAAAUAAAGGCAGAGCUGUCUU
ensembl:antisense